rnacentral:rRNA from 1 species
AACGAACGCUGGCGGCAGGCUUAACACAUGCAAGUCGAACGCCCCGCAAGGGGAGUGGCAGACGGGUGAGUAACGCGUGGGAAUCUACCCAUCUCUACGGAAUAACACAGGGAAACUUGUGCUAAUACCGUAUACGCCCUUUGGGGGAAAGAUUUAUCGGAGAUGGAUGAGCCCGCGUUGGAUUAGCUAGUUGGUGAGGUAAUGGCUCACCAAGGCGACGAUCGUUAGCUGGUCUGAGAGGACGAUCAGCCACACUGGGACUGAGACACGGCCCAGACUCCUACGGGAGGCAGCAGUGGGGAAUAUUGGACAAUGGGCGCAAGCCUGAUCCAGCCAUGCCGCGUGAGUGAUGAAGGCCUUAGGGUUGUAAAGCUCUUUCAGUGGGGAAGAUAAUGACGGUACCCACAGAAGAAGCCCCGGCUAACUUCGUGCCAGCCGCCGCGGUAAGAC